UCCGCUCUUUUGCUCACACUCAGACUAUCCAUAAAUUUGAUAUCAGUUUCCUUUCAAUCUUGAUUCCAAUCACAAAUUCUAAUUUAAGCCAAUUUCACCAUCAUUCUCUUCCGUUUGUUUUCUUCAAACCCUAGAAUUUAUUAUUCUUUGUUGAGGCUUGAAGAUCUGGCAUAUGGAAUUCUCUCGGUCGUGUAGAUUUGUGUAUUUCUUCUUCAAUCGGAUCAAAAUUCAGAUCCCAUCUAUCGUUGAUUUCUUUCACAAACACUAAAUCUAUACUAGGCGAUUCUCUCACGCGGUUAUCAAAAACCCUAAAUUGGAACCAGUCGGGUCUGAUACAGGUAAUUGUUUUUACGUAUAGUGGAAGUUACGCGGAGGCUAUGAAAGUGAUAAUAGGGUUUGAAUCAGGGCUGGAGAAUAAGAUUCAAAAGAAAUUGAUUUUGUCAUUUGAUUCGUCUAUUCUUGAUAUCAACUUAUUAGUCGAGAGUUUAGUGUAACCUAUGUUCUGAUUUGUUGAUAUUCUGUCUUAAUAGUAGGUGAUUUCAUAAGUAGAAAUUGAUGGUAUAUAUGAAUAUAGAAAGAGAUGUAUACUGCUAAUGUUGUAUCUAUUUGUGCAUUAUUUUCUUUUACAUUGUGUGCUUUUAGUUAAACAUAUUGAUUAUACUUGAUUUGACACCUUGAAUACUUGUGUUAUACUACUAUCUUGUCCCUGAUAUAGGCUAUUAUUGAGGUGUUUGUGAAAUUUUUGACACGUCUGUUUCAUUAAUGCGACUUUAAUAGUGUUAUUAAAAUGCACUUCUGGUACUCUAAUUGUUGCGCUGAUUAGCCUGAGCUAUUGUUGGUGUACCUGUUGGCAACUCCAUCCAAGUCCAGUACCGUAAAGGGAAGUAAGAAUUUUUUUUUGACUUUUUAAACUCGGCAGAGGGAAGCAAGAAAAAAAAUUGAGUUUUUAAACGAGGUUUUAACCAAUAUUUUUUCUCUUUGUUUUUAAAUUUAUUGAUUUGAACCUUGCUUUGCAGGUUGGAGUUCUUCAUGAGCUGAUUCACUCGAGACAGUCUCUCCAAAAUAACAGACGAAUAAGAUCAAAUAUCCAGCACGUCAUAAACGCGAAAGAGGCUCGAUGAUAAUGGCAGGAAAACUUAUGGAUUUGGAGACGGUUUGCGAUCUGAACUCUCGACACGGGAGGCAAAGGUUUGCUGACUAAGAAAGUAACUGACUGAAGCAUCUUUAACCCAAUAAAUUCAAGAGUCCAUGCAUAAAUAAUGGUUUAAAGAUCAAUAAUAAGGUCAUCUUCAUUUUGAGGCAUAUUAGAUACCAUAUCUCACAUUCGACAGGUUCUUCUCUUUUUUUUUCUCAUUUGCACAUCAAUCAGUGUGUACUGUGAUUAAUAAGUUUUGUUUUUUGACUUUCUCAUUAAUGAUGCAGGUGUGUAA